UCGCGGGGUGGAGCAGUUCGGUAGCUCGUCGGGCUCAUAACCCGAAGGUCGUAGGUUCAAAUCCUACCCCCGCAAU
rnacentral:tRNA from 1 species